CCAGGUCACACAGAUGCAAAUGGUCCAAAGGGAAAACUCCUUUUUCUGGUGGCACUGGUCUUGCUCCUCUAUUUCCACCAAAUGCACCUCCUAUGGCAACAAAGAUCAUCAAUAAUGGAAACUACAUUCUUUUAACAACACUUACCAUUUGAGGCAUUCAUAUCGAGCAAUAAAACUAAUGGAAGAACAACACAAUCUAGUCAUAUGCCAAGACUAAAAUCCCACAGUUAUUGAUCAAGCACAAAAGUUUCUAUGCGAGUUUCAGUUUGGUUGCAUUGGAUAUUGGGAUUUGAUCCACCAACUAAGAAAAAAAAUCCGGGGAGAUGAGCGACAAAUGAAUAUCGAAAGCUAAAUCCUAUCAAUAAUAAGCCCUAAUCUUAUGCUCAUUCUACAUGAACAAGUAGUUGAGGUAACAAUUCACCAAACAUUAACAGAAAAAUUACAAUUUCAAGUAAGCCUUGAAAAUGGGGAAAAUAAGACUUACCUGCACUCAUUGUUUUUCACCGAGGAAUACUCGUCGAUAAACCCUCUUUGUCUAUUUCUUCAGUUCUUUUGGAAGAUAUUCUCUCGUAUGAGUUUUCAAUUCUCAGGCUUUAAAAACGGCUCUGAUAGUCGGAGAUAAGGCGUUUAAUCGGCAAAAUCAACCGCCGAUUAAUCGGAAAUUUGAAAUUGAAACAGAGAUGAAUUAGGAAGGAAACAGAUUUAUCUUUCACAGAUUAAAUAUUUGGGCCGGGAAUUAGAGCCCAGUCGUUCGUGCUCAUUAUGCUUUUAUUUGGCCCAUGUCUAUGGAUAAUUGUAAAAGUAAAAUCUAUAGUAGUAUUUGCGUAUAUGAAAUGUUAUUAAUGCACAUAUUACUACUGAUAUUAUAUUCCCUACGAAAUACUCGUACUAUUUUUUUGAGAGCCUUGUUCCUUUUUAUCUGAAAAUGUACUUCAAUUAUAUCAUUCUAUUUUGUAUAGAGUAAUUUUGAUCUACAAAUUGAUAAUAUGUAUGUUUUUUUUUUAUAAAUUAUUUUAAGAAAGCUCAAAUAAUUUUAUGAUUACUUUUAAACUCAAAUUUAUAAAAACUACAAAUAUAUAAUCCGAACUUAUAUACUUAUAUAGUUAAGUUUACAGGCCGAGUCAAAAUUUCGUUCAAUUAAAUAGUAAGAUACGAUGUUUAUGUAUAUAAUUUUGCUUAUUCAAAAUUAGGGGUAGUAACCGGUCCGAUUCGGUUAUAUCUGAAUCGAUUUUCUGAUUAAUCAAAACCAGUUAAUAGUGAAAAAAAAUUAUAACAAAAACUCGAACCGAUUUUCGGUUCAGUUAAUCGAUUAAUUACAAGGCAGAGCAGAUCAAUCAAAAACGCCAAUUAAUUCGGUUAAUAGGUUAAUCAAUUAACUCGAGGCAGAUAAAAAAUUUCCCAAAAAAUCGACUUUUAAUGGUAGGAAUAGGUGAUAAUCCAUAUGAUUGAUGAGAUCAUGCAAAGGAAAAUGGUGAUAAUCCAAUUGAGUGAAAAGUGGAUGCUGGUGGGAUUAUGGGCGGUACAAUUAAGAGUGAUAAUUGUCCAGAAUUAUUAAACUAAUUGCAACAAGGGAAGAAACAUAUACAAAAAAGGGCAAAUUUUGAAAAAUAUAAAAAACACAUAGAAACAGAACACUAAAGUAGUUACUGUGCACAAGCUUGCUGCAUUUAUAAUAAACACCAGUCAAUGAGAUCUCUUCUCUAAUUCAUUUAAAUUAUCAUGACUUUCAGUUAUAUUAUUGACGGAGUAAUCAGAAAUGAUGUCUCAGAAUUUUCAGUAAGAAAGUUCAAACAACAGAACACAGGUUCCCAGCGGCCACAACCACGAGUUAAAAAACAGGGACUUGAAAAAUAAUUACCAAAAUCAGUGUUGAAGAAGGAGGCGGAGAAGGUCGUAGUGCUCGGGGAAGGAGAAAAAGUCGAAAGAGGCAGAAGAAGAAUCUUUCAAAUAACGACACAAAACUCGAGCUGCUGAGGCGCGGAAAAAAACUGGGAAGAGGUGCCGGCGCUAUAUUCGCUGGAAGCCCUCAACCCUCGCAGACUCGUAGGCGGCAGAAGCUUUAUUCGCUGGAACUGGAA
rnacentral:lncRNA from 1 species